rnacentral:rRNA from 1 species
GCUGGCGGUAUGCCUAACACAUGCAAGUCGUACGAGAGUUUUUAACUCAAGUGGCGGACGGGUGAGUAACACGUAAGAAUUUGCCUUUAGGAGGGGGAUAACAUUUGGAAACGAAUGCUAAUACCCCAUAUGCUUUUAAGUGAAAUGGUAUUUUAUAUUAGCUUUUAUGUUAAUAUGUUAAUCUAUAAUUUUAAAUAUUAUUUAUAACCGCCUAAAGAGAAGCUUGCGGCUGAUUAGCUUGUUGGUAAGGUAAUGGCUUACCAAGGCGACGAUCAGUAUCUGGUUUGAGAGGAUGAUCAGACACACUGGAACUGAGACACGGUCCAGACUCCUACGGGAGGCAGCAGUGGGGAAUUUUCCGCAAUGGGCGAAAGCCUGACGGAGCAAUACCGCGUGAGGGAUGACUGCCUAUGGGUUGUAAACCUCUUUUUUCAGGGAGGAAUAAAUGACGUUACCUGAAGAAUAAGCAUCGGCUAACUCCGUGCCAGCAGCCGCGGUAAGACGGAGGAUGCAAGUGUUAUCCGGAAUCACUGGGCGUAAAGCGUCUGUAGGUGGUUUAAUAAGUCAACUGUUAAAUCUUGAGGCUCAACCUCAAAACUGCAGUCGAAACUAUUAGACUAGAGUAUAGUAGGGGUAAAGGGAAUUUCCAGUGGAGCGGUGAAAUGCGUA